ACGUAGGAGGCGAGCGUUAUCCGGAUUUACUGGGCUUAAAGGGUGUGCAGGCGGGUGAUUAAGUCGUGCAUGAAAGCCGUGUGCUUAACACACGGAGGCUGUGCGAGACUGGUCGUCUAGAGGCUGUGAGAGGGACGCGGAAUUCCGGGUGUAGUGGUGAAAUGCGUAGAGAUCCGGAGGAACACCAGAGGCGAGGGCGGCGUCCUAGUGCAGACCUGACGCUGAGACACGACAGCAUGGGGAGCGAACGGGAUUAGAAACCCCGGUAGUCCAUGCCGUAAACGAUGGAUGCUAGGCGUGGGGCGGUUAAGUCCGCUCCGCGUCGGAGGGAAACUGGUAAGCAUCCCGCCUGGGGAGUACGGUCGCAAGGCUA
rnacentral:rRNA from 1 species